rnacentral:rRNA from 1 species
UACGUAGGUGGCGAGCGUUGUCCGGAUUUACUGGGCGUAAAGAGCGCGCAGGCGGUCGUUCAAGUCGCGUGUGAAAGCCCCCGGCUCAACUGGGGAGGGUCACGCGAUACUGAUCGACUCGAAGGCAGGAGAGGGAAGUGGAAUUCCCGGUGUAGUGGUGAAAUGCGUAGAUAUCGGGAGGAACACCAGUGGCGAAGGCGGCAUCCUGGACCAACACUGACGCUGAGGAGCGAAAGCCAGGGGAGCAAACCGG